CGCGAGACUUCCUGCGAGUUCGAGCCGGUGGCGGAGCGCGAGCGAAGUUGGUUGUGUAUGAGACUUUCCAUGGCAGGCGGAGGUUGCCAACCCUCUAGGAUUGCCCUGGAGUCUUCAGGAAUUAAAGAUUGAUUCCUAGACACUGUCAACCUAUGAGAAGAAUCAAAGAGACAUUGAAAAAAAAGACCUUAGACUGUGUUCUCUUCCCCACUGCGCUUUGGCAGCAACUGCCCCAAGCUUUCGAGUAUCCCUCAGCACAUAGUCCUGUACCUUGGAAUGUGCCAGUCAGCAACAUUUGGUCAAGAUCAACUCCUUGUGCUGGAAGACCAACAAGUUUUGGGCAGACCAAAGAGCAUCUUUCAUUGAGUUGAUGGUAUUCCAGGUGCAGUCGAUGUUUGUCUUGGUGUGCAUCCCAGGGAACAGACCGUAGAGCACAUAGUCCUGCGUCACAGAGCUGCUUGGGAUGACCUUUGACAAAAACCACGUCAUCUCUUUCCAGACCUUUUUUUGCAAAGGAACCUUAAGGAUGUAUGACAGUCUCUUUUACCAGUGUAGCCAUUUUGAGAGCAGCAUGUGGUGGCACAGAGUCUGGGUGUACAUACAGAAUCUGAUGGGUAGUGUCCUGCCCACCACUAGCCAAGCUGUGUCUUGGUGCUGCUUGGAAAGUUCCGGCAAUCGAGCAUUCUGCCAAAUGACUGCUCAGGAAGCCAUGUGACAGGAUCCAUGCUCUCCCUUUCUUGCAGGGUCUCGAGGACACUAUAUGCUCACCGCUGCCAGGUGGACUUGUGGUCAAAAGUGCUUUUCUUUACAAAUUUCUCCACAAAGAACAGGUGAUACAGAAUGGUCCAGCUGCUUGGAGUGUUUUGUAGUGCCAAGGCUAGACCCAUCCUCUGUAACACUGCGGACAGGUAGAACCUCAGUAUGUAGUGUCACUUGGUGUUCGUGUACUGAGGGUCUGCACAGCUUGAUGCAGCCACACACAAAGAUAGCCAUCAGGAUGAGGGCAGUGUUGAGUACGUUUCACCCCCCUGCUCCUGCUCCUGCUCCUGCCCCUGCCCCCCACUUAUCUAGAGCUUUAUACAUGGUAUCCCUGCAGACAUGGUCCAUCUUUGACCUCCAGAUGAAGUGGAAGAUGGCUCGGGUGACUGCAAAAGCCCAGGUUCUGGGAAUGGGCCUGACCUGUGCCAUGUGUAGUAACACAGACAGUACCUUGUGCCUGCUGACCAGGCUUUUACCCACAAUGGAGAGGAAGCGGUGCUCCCAUAAGCCCAGUUUCUGCCUCACCUUGGCAAUUAACUCCCAAGUUUUUUGUGCGUGCCCCAGCCCCUCCAAACCAUAUUCCCAGCACCUUUUGAUAAUCUGUCUUGAUGGCGAAGGGGAUAAUUAUAAAAAUAUUGCAAAUGGUUAAACAUGCUUCUUUACUGAUAGUCAAGAAUCAUCUAACCUGGUGAUGAGGAGUCUGUUCAUUUUUCAGAUAGCAUGGGAAGACUUCAUGCAUCAUCAACCAAUGACUGAGUAUGGGCUUGGUCAUCUAGAGGUCAUGUGAUUAAAUUCUUGGCUACCUCCAACUAAGCCUGUUGGAAAACUUAUUUCCACAAGGGAGAUACAAAUAGAAAGAUAUGUUAAUGAGGUUAAACGAGUGGGAUGGGAGGAAGCUCAUCUGGAGUAUAAACACGAGCAGUUGAGCCAAACAGCCUGUUUCUGUUUUUAAGUUCUCUGAAAAAAAAUAUUUGUGGUACCACUAGUGAUUUGAUCUCCUAUUGUCAUUGCUGUGUCACAAUCCCUGCAUUUGUUUUCUUCUCUAUUCUCUGUAUAUCUAGUUUAAUUUACCUUUGUUCUGAAGUUGUGUUUUUUUUUUUUUUUUUUUUUUGACACCUGGACACUUUGUCCUCUAGAAUCAGAUAGUAAGAACCGCAGAUGCUGGAGAAUCCGAGACAACAAGGUGCAGAGCUGGAUGAACACAGCAGGCCGAGCAGCUGCUUGACCACUUUGUCCUCUAAGUCUGCUGAUUUUUCUCUUGAACCUAAAAGUUGUGAAGGUUGUACCUGGUAGAGCUUUCCAUUAGGGGGCUGUAGAAACCUACGCAACCAUUGCACAGUUCCCCUCAUAACCCUUUGAAUGCUGAAAAGGCAUCACCAUUUUCAAAGGAGAAAUCUAUUUUUGUUUAUUAGGCUGAUUUUCUGUAACAUUGCUUUACCUAGCCGUCUUGCUGUUCUUAUGAUGCCAGCUACCUGUCUUUAAUAGAUCAUAUUUUUGGUUUUAAUUAAGUAGUUUUUCACUGAAAUGUAAGAAUGCAAUGCUGCACAUUUUGCUUUAACAAUAAAACAGAAGUUCAUUAACAAAAGAUAUAGUGAGAAAAUAGAGUAUACCGAGCUAUCUACUUAACACACAUUGUGUCUCUACAGAUGCUGCCAGACCUACUGAGUUUCUCCAAUACUUUGUUUAUAUUUCAGAUUUUCAGCAUUCACAGAUUUGUUUUAUUCAAAUAUUUUUAAACACAAUAAAAGUAUAAUCCUAUUUAAUUCCAAAAUGCUCCCUUGUGCAUUGAAAAGGAAAACAAGAACAUUUAUAUUGCAUUCAAAACACCGCUUAUAUAGUACUCACAUUAGAGUCCCUGUCUCUAACACCUUGGUAAGGUUUAAGUCACUUGUAAUUUUAACUUAUAGACUGAAACUGCAGAUAGCUCCAGGAAAAAGCUAUCAUACACCUGAGCUUAAACAUAUUCAUCUUUAAAUAAUUUCUUUAGGGUUUUAUCCCAACGCUUCUGGAAUAGGACUAACACUAGCUCUUCUUGAAGUAACCUAGUUUCAC